GAUCAUGGCUCAGAUUGAACGCUGGCGGAAUGCUUUACACAUGCAAGUCGAACGGUAGAGGGGGCAACCUCUCGAGAGUGGCGAACGGGUGAGUAAUAUAUCGGAACGUGCCCAGUCGUGGGGGAUAACGUAGCGAAAGUUACGCUAAUACCGCAUACGAUCUACGGAUGAAAGCGGGGGACUCGCAAGAGCCUCGCGCGAUUGGAGCGGCCGAUAUCAGAUUAGGUAGUUGGUGAGGUAAAGGCUCACCAAGCCAACGAUCUGUAGCUGGUCUGAGAGGACGACCAGCCACACUGGAACUGAGACACGGUCCAGACUCCUACGGGAGGCAGCAGUGGGGAAUUUUGGACAAUGGACGCAAGUCUGAUCCAGCCAUUCCGCGUGCAGGAUGAAGGCCCUCGGGUUGUAAACUGCUUUUGUACGGAACGAAAAGGUUUCCAUUAAUACUGGGAGCUCAUGACGGUACCGUAAGAAUAAGCACCGGCUAACUACGUG
rnacentral:rRNA from 1 species